CCCGGAUACAACACUAGAAAGAUCAAAAUCAAACACAUCUUUCAAUGGAGCAAGCAUUCCGCUAAAACCGUAUAUAUUAUGCAUUUAAUAAUCAUAAUUUCUGCCUCUAUGAACCAAAGGAACUGCUACUAGUAAUAAUAUUCGUCACACUUCAUUUUCUGCUAUCAAAUGUACUCCGCUACGGUGCGGUUGCUCACUGCAACCCUUUUAUUAUCCAGAAUUAGAUUCAGAUUUAAUUUUGAAAUUGCUUUAUUGCAAUUUUCAAUCAUUGCAAUUCAUGCUUCACUAUUAGUUUUCCUUCAAUCUUGAUUUAGAUCAGAUAUUGUCAUGUUGGUGUAUUUUGAUUUAAAUGAAAGAGUACUUUGGUGGGUCUUUAUUUUUGUGGCAAAACUCAGAAAGAGUCAACAAAGAUUGUAUUUUUUUUGUGUUUGGAAAAACAGGCAUUUUGUUUUUGAAGAACCCGGCUACAAACAUGAAAGAUUGUGUUUUUGUGUGUUUUGAGGUUGAAUUAUAAUUCAGAUAUGAUAGUACUUUUUUGGGUUUGGAGGGAAUUGGAAAAGUACGCCUUUUGGUUUUGAAGAACCCGGAAACAAGCAUCAAAGGUUGUAUUUUGAAGUUGAAUCUUGAUUCAGAUUAGAUAGUAUUUUGGUGGCAUUCGAGGGAGUUGGAGAAAUUGUGUGUGUGUGUGUUUUUUUUUGUGGGGUGGAAGAACUCAGCAAGACUAAUCAAAAGAUUUUAUUUUGAUUUGUUUUGAGGUUGAACUAUACUGCAGAUCAGAGAGAACUUCGGUGAGUUUUGAGGAAAUUGGAAGUUUGUUUUUUGUUUGUGUGGAGGAACUCACUAACAGUCAUAAAAUAUUGACCUUUGGUGUAUAUUGAAGUUGAACUUAGGUUCAUCAAAGAUUGUACUUUUGGUGUGUUUUGUAGUUCAGAUUAAAACAUACUUCUUGUGGAUUUGAGGGAAUUGAAACAUUGUUGGUUGUGUGUUGUUGGGGAAGAAUUCAGCAAAAGUCAUGUUCUAUGGUUCAGUGGUAUGGGAUCCAUGGCUAAUUGUUGCCCAAAUUGGGUUUCUUCAAUGCAUAUACUAUUUGACAUUAGGGAUAUUCUUGGAAACUCUUGUAGGGAGUCGGGUUUCUCGGAUGAGUUUUGUCUAUUUCUUUGAUUAUGCCACUGUUACUGCUUCAACUGUCACCGGAUGGUGCGUCAUUGCUUCCUUUCUUCUCAGUUCACUUGCAGGAGCUGGCGUUUUACUAUAUGUUAUUGAGAGAGCAAAGAAGUGCCUGGAUUUUUCUGCAACACUCUACAUCAUCCAUCUUUUUAUAUGCAUUGUAUAUGGUGGUUGGCCUUCCUCAAUAACAUGGUGGAUUGUGAAGGUUACUGGUCUUGCUGUGAUGGCAUUGUUAGGUGAAUAUUUGUGCAUAAAACGUGAAUUACGAGAAAUUCCCAUUUCAAGAUACCGAUCAAGUGUUUGACUAGGUAGAUGUUCAACAGCAAAUAGCAUUUUUCCUUUAGUCAUGCAGCGGUGGUUUCUUUGACUCAUUCUAUUUGAGAAUUGAAGUUUCUCUAUGCAAUUUAUUUCUCAUGCCUAUGGCAAUGACAUAUCGGGGACUGCUAGGAUAACACCAAAUGCAUAGAGCAAGACAAGCUAAGCAGCCGAAUUAUUAGGACGAAUGCAAAUAGUCGAAGAAUUUGUUUGAGUUACUAAUAUAUCAGAAUAAUCUUCCAGGCCCUUUUCUUUUGGCUGAAUAGGAGGAAAAACUAGUACAUUACUGGACAUAUUGAAGAAAAGUUAAAUGUUUACUUUAUGAAGUUCUAUUUAGAACAUGUAGAAUGGAAAGCGAAAAUCUUUGAAUGGUUCAAAGUGCACAAAGAGAUGGUACAGCAAAAACAUUUCAUCUUGCUUAUUGAUGAAUGAAGAGAAAAAAUUGGAGGAUCUUAAAAACCGAAACUCCAACCUAAAGUUUCAUGAUCAAAAGCAGAAUACAUCAGGUACGAGAAAAGAAUAUAUUUUAAAGUGAGACUUUUGAAGAGAAGCUUACUGCAAUGGCGAGGCCGAGAGGUACUGAGAUGAAAAGAACACCAAAAAACGAACAUAAGCAAGCCAGGAAAUCGAACUUGUCAACUUUCCAUAGACGGAAUGCAGCUUGAUAAUCGAUUAGGCCAAUCACUGCUGUUAUGAUGAUUGCUGCCAAGAUGACGAUGGGGGUGUAAUAGAACAGUGGCAUUAGAAACAAUAGGGUGAUUAGCACAGCUGUUGCCAUUAUUAUGUUUGAAACGACCGUUUGUGCCCCAGCAUUGUAGUUUACUGCUGAUCGAGAAAAUGAUCCUGUAAACGUAAAACUUAUCUAAGUAAAAAGAAGAGAGGAGAAAAUCUUACUUAUCUAUAAUGAAAUCUAAAACCACAGGCCAAUGAGGCCGGUGGCGGAGCCACAUAGGCCGAAACACCCUUCGUCAGAAAAUUAUACCGUGCAUAUUUAGGUCAAUAAUUACUUUCUAUAGAUAUGUAUUAAAUUAUGAACACAUGACAUUUCUAGCUUUGCCAGUGAAUGAGGCUGGUACCUGUUGUAACAUAGCAGGAUGAACAACAUCCAGCCAUGUUCAUUAGUCCAAUAGCCAUCAUUUCUUUGUUUCCAUCAACUUGGUAAUUCUUCAAAGCAGCAAAUGUCCUUCCUACUGCAAUCCCUUCCUACAGGUCCAUUAAAAUGUCAAUCACAAAGCAAUCUUUAUACACUGCUAAAAAAGCAGGAAUUAGUAACGGACAAAUUCUAUAGCUAAACAACAAAUUUCAUUGCUAAUCCCAUUUAGCGACAAAUCAUCACAAAAACAUGUUAGCUAUUAGCAAUUCGGAGACAGAUUAGCGACGAAGUUCAUAGGUAAUUUCAGUUUUUUUCUUUAGUGAUAUUUAUGUGAGAAUUGCUUGUGAUAGUUACCAAUGACUUACUGUGAGCGCCAAGAUUCCCGAUACAAUGCCAGUUUUGAUGGCAAGAGGCAGAUAAGGGCCACUCAGAGUUAACAUGUUCAUUGAGGGUGGAUUUAGACCCUUUUGCAGGUGUCCGAUCUGCAAUAACUCCAAAGUUAUUUUCAGUUUUAUUCUGUCUAAAAACUAAGGAUGGACGUAAAGCUGAUGCAUUUUACUUACAGUUUGAAUCCCAUGAGCUUUCGACUUAAGGAUGGAGACUACGAGAGUUGAGAUAAUAACCGAGGCCAAUGGAGACGCUGCUGAAAGCCAGAAUUUUUUUGGAUUCCUUGUGCUCUGUUAUCACAGAGGAAGAUUCAAAGUCAAAACCUUUAUUUAGAAAAUCAGUGCUAUAGGAAUUAGCGAUAGAUGCAGCAAAAUCCGUCGCUAAUCCAAUUUAACGACGGAUUAUUAAAAAAAAAAAAAACUGUUAGCUACGAGCAUUUUAGCGACAAAGUUUGUAGCUAAUUCCUAUGUUGCCUAUGUUGCCUGGACUCUUCAAAAAUGUCGACAGGUGUGUGUUGGAUACUCCAAAAAUAGUGCAUUUUUGGAGAAUCCGACAUGGGUGUAGCAACAUUUUUGGAAAGUUCGAUUAACAUAGGCUAAUUCUGGUCCUUUUUGUAGUGAAUGAACAAGGAAUGAAUAUUAAUCAGCAUAUAAUGCUUUCUGUAAAUAAACCAAACUCUUACUAUUUGCCUUGUUGUUAGCAGGAAGACCAGGAAAGAAACGCCCAUAACAAUGGUUUGCCAGGACCACUGCAAAGAGAUAAGAGAGAGUAAAAUUACUAAAUAUGAUUUGUUCUGUUGACAAAGAUUAUAUUGUUGCUUUUUCCACAAUCUUGGUAACUCAGGAGUUGUAAAAUUAAUUAAAGAAGUUUCUUCUUACUUCA